rnacentral:rRNA from 1 species
GGGGGAUAUUGCACAAUGGAGGAAACUCUGAUGCAGCAACGCCGCGUGAGGGAAGACGGUUUUCGGAUUGUAAACCUCUGUCCUUGGUGACGAAACAAAUGACGGUAGCCAAGGAGGAAGCUCCGGCUAACUACGUGCCAGCAGCCGCGGUAAUACGUAGGGAGCAAGCGUUGUCCGGAUUUACUGGGUGUAAAGGGUGCGUAGGCGGCUCUGCAAGUCAGGCGUGAAAUAUAUGGGCUUAACCCAUAGACUGCGUUUGAAACUGUGGAGCUUGAGUGCAGGAGAGGAAAGUGGAAUUCCCAGUGUAGCGGUGAAAUGCGUAGAUAUUGGGAGGAACACCAGUGGCGAAGGCGACUUUCUGGACUGUGUCUGACACUAAGGCGCGAAAGCCAGGGGAGCGAACG